GAUGAACGCUGGCGGCGUGCCUAAUACAUGCAAGUCGAGCGAACAGAUGAGGAGCUUGCUCCUCUGACGUUAGCGGCGGACGGGUGAGUAACACGUGGAUAACCUACCUAUAAGACUGGGAUAACUUCGGGAAACCGGAGCUAAUACCGGAUAAUAUAUUGAACCGCAUGGUUCAAUAGUGAAAGACGGUUUUGCUGUCACUUAUAGAUGGAUCCGCGCCGCAUUAGCUAGUUGGUAAGGUAACGGCUUACCAAGGCAACGAUGCGUAGCCGACCUGAGAGGGUGAUCGGCCACACUGGAACUGAGACACGGUCCAGACUCCUACGGGAGGCAGCAGUAGGGAAUCUUCCGCAACGGGCGAAAGCCUGACGGAGCAACGCCGCGUGAGUGAUGAAGGUCUUCGGAUCGUAAAACUCUGUUAUUAGGGAAGAACAAAUGUGUAAGUAACUAUGCACGUCUUGACGGUACCUAAUCAGAAAGCCACGGCUAACUACGU
rnacentral:rRNA from 1 species